AGAGGACAUUGGGCAACGAGGAUAGCCCCGCAGCCACUGGAAUAUCGCCCAGGAUUCCGAGGAGGGCCACAUCACCACCGAAGGGGGACCGUUGGGCAACGAAGGUCACCGCCAGAAUCCUAGCCCAAAAUUGCAAGGAGGGCUGGUAACACUACUGAGGAGGAUUACUGGACACCGGGAAUCGCCGCCGAAGUCGCCAAGGGUUACCAGGUAUUGCUUUAACA